CCCCCGUACCUCGACCCAAUCACAGCCCUCCUUCCCGCCCUCCCCCCGAACCCAUAUAAACCGCGCGAGUUUAAGAUUGAAGGUCUUUCUGCCACGGAACACAUCAGGGAAGCUUGGUCUUUUUCUCCCCCUGCCAAAGGGGGCAGCGCGGCCGAGCUCCACUCUGGGGAAACCAGCAGAGAGUUCGCACACAGAUCCGUUAAUUGGCUCCCCAACGUCAGAUUGAGACCUGAUGACUGUCCUAAAACACUGGGAAGAUCAGCUGCCAACUAAAGGUCCCCAGACUGGAAGUGUUUGAGCUGUGUUAAAAACGGAGUGACUGUGACUCUCCCUCUCCCUUCUGCCUGCCCUGGUACUCCAAGAACUUCUUCCACAAAGCUCCUUAACGGGCUGCUCCUUCCAAAUUCCUGGCAAACUGUCAUGAUUGGAUACAUGGGUGAAAAGUGUAGUAAUGCUGCAUCAUCAUCUGACCCCUCAGGAGGUCUGGAAAUGCUGCAAUUCGAAGUAGGAAGACAUCCCACAUCCGAACAGAGGCAAACACUCAUGCUCCUGAUGCACUGAUAGUUCAGUCCAAGGUGACAUAUCCCACAGGAUAUUCUGUGCAGAAUUACACCAUAGUUGUCAAAAGCAUCAGUGUGCUGCACCAUGCUCCCAAAUCACCCUGCUCUGGGCAAAAGGGUAAAAUAAAUGGAUCCUCUAUGUGGCUAUUCUA